AUCUAAGAAGAAGCAAGCGUACCGGCUCAUGUUCUGACGGCCGUGUUCACGUGGUGUAAGAUCUGCAUUGUGGAAUCCUUCGUCCGGACAAGAGAGAUUGGAUCCUCCCAUCCAGACAACCUGAUAGAACGACAGUGUAUAAGAACAGGGCUCUUAGGACGCCUUUUGUCAAGUUGGGUCAUAACUCUACCCUGAGAAUUGAGAUAGAUGAUCAUGUGGUGCAAGAUAA